rnacentral:misc_RNA from 1 species
AACCGCCCGGUGCGGACCCGCAUGCCGGGUGGUGUGGCAGGGGAGCAGGCUGAGAGGCCUGCCUCCUAUGCCGAU